rnacentral:rRNA from 1 species
GCACAAGCGGUGGAGUAUGUGGUUUAAUUCGAUGCAACGCGAAGAACCUUACCUGGUCUUGACAUCCCGGAGACCCUUAGGAAACUAGGGGGUGCUUCCAUCUGGAAGAAUCUGGAGACAGGUGCUGCAUGGCUGUCGUCAGCUCGUGUCGUGAGAUGUUGGGUUAGGUCCCGCAACGAGCGCAACCCUUGCCUUUAGUUGCCAGCAGUUCGGCUGGGCACUCUAAAGGGACUGCCGGUGUUAAACCGGAGGAAGGUGGGGAUGACGUCAAGUCCUCAUGGCCUUUAUGACCAGGGCUACACACGUACUACAAUGGCCGAUACAAAGGGCAGCGACACUGCGAGGUGAAGCCAAUCCCGUAAAAUCGGUCUCAGUCCGGAUUGGAGUCUGCAACUCGACUCCAUGAAGUUGGAAUCGCUAGUAAUCGUGGAUCAGCAUGCCACGGUGAAUACGUUCCCGGGCCUU